AAAUUGAAGAGUUUGAUCAUGGCUCAGAUUGAACGCUGGCGGCAGGCCUAACACAUGCAAGUCGAACGGUAACAGGAAUCAGCUUGCUGAUUUGCUGACGAGUGGCGGACGGGUGAGUAAUGUCUGGGAAACUGCCUGAUGGAGGGGGGUAACUACUGGAAACGGUAGCUAAUACCGCAUAACGUCGCAAGACCAAAGAGGGGGACCUUCGGGCCUCUUGCCAUCGGAUGUGCCCAGAUGGGAUUAGCUAGUAGGUGGGGUAA
rnacentral:rRNA from 2 species